rnacentral:misc_RNA from 1 species
GUGAAUCAUCGAAUUUUUGAACGCAAAUUGCACUCUCCACGGAGAGUAUGUCUGUUUGAGGGUCAGCCUAGAAAAAAUCGACAUCGUUGCUGUUUCGCGGUGGCGUUCGUCGGAAAUUGGGGCAGCUUAAAUCAUUUGGGUUUAAGCGACUUAAAAUUUUCUUUUUGGUUCCAUGAACGUAUCUAAGAUUUAUUGCUUUACACGUUUAAGGUAUCGAUUGUUAUUAGACGUGACCAUCAUAUCGGAUCUCGCCCACA